rnacentral:rRNA from 1 species
GACAGAGGGUGCAAACGUUGUUCGGAAUUACUGGGCGUAAAGCGAGUGUAGGCGGUCUCAUAAGUCGGGUGUGAAAGCCCCGGGCUCAACCCGGGAAGUGCACUCGAAACUGUGAGGCUAGAGUAUCGGAGAGGUUGGUGGAAUUCUCGGUGUAGAGGUGAAAUUCGUAGAUAUCGAGAGGAACACCGGUGGCGAAGGCGGGAUCCUGGGCCAGUACUGACGCUGAGGAGCGAAAGCGUGGGGAGCAAACAGG